AGAGUUUGAUCCUGGCUCAGAUUGAACGCUGGCGGCAUGCUUUACACAUGCAAGUCGGACGGCAGCGGGGUAGUGCUUGCACUACUGCCGGCGAGUGGCGAACGGGUGAGUAAUAUAUUGGAACGUACCGAGUAAUGGGGGAUAACCAAUCGAAAGAUUGGCUAAUACCGCAUACGCUCUGAGGAGGAAAGCAGGGGACCUUCGGGCCUUGCGUUAUUCGAGCGGCCAAUAUCUGAUUAGCUAGUUGGUGGGGUAAAGGCCUACCAAGGCGACGAUCAGUAGCGGGUCUGAGAGGAUGAUCCGCCACACUGGGACUGAGACACGGCCCAGACUCCUACGGGAGGCAGCAGUGGGGAAUAUUGCACAAUGGGCGCAAGCCUGAUGCAGCGACGCCGCGUGGGGGAUGACGGCCUUCGGGUUGUAAACUCCUUUCGUUAGGGACGAAGCCACACCUUUUUUGGGUGUGGUGACGGUACCUUUGUUAAGAAGCACCGGCUAACUACGUGCCAGCAGCCGCGGUAAUACGUAGGGUGCGAGCGUUGUCCGGAAUUACUGGGCGUAAAGAGCUCGUAGGUGGUUUGUUGCGUCGUCUGUGAAAUUCCGGGGCUUAACUUCGGGGUGGCAGGCGAUACGGGCAUAACUAGAGUGCUGUAGGGGAGACUGGAAUUCCUGGUGUAGCGGUGGAAUGCGCAGAUAUCAGGAGGAACACCGAUGGCGAAGGCAGGUCUCUGGGCAGUAACUGACGCUGAGGAGCGAAAGCAUGGGGAGCGAACAGGAUUAGAUACCCUGGUAGUCCAUGCUGUAAACGGUGGGCGUUAGGUGUGGGGACCGGUUUGGUUUCUGUGCCGUAGCUAACGCAUUAAGCGCCCCGCCUGGGGAGUACGGCCGCAAGGCUAAAACUCAAAGGAAUUGACGGGGGCCCGCACAAGCGGCGGAGCA
rnacentral:rRNA from 1 species